rnacentral:lncRNA from 1 species
GAACUAUAUAAGGAAGGUGGGAUGAAGACAUGGUUACACAACAGCUUGGCUAAGGGAUAUGUUUAACAGGGUGAAAGAUAGUUUGAUGAGACAAAGGGAAGUUGCUCCGCCGAGAGAGAACUUUAUGACGGUGCCACACAAUCUAGCAAGGCUGAAUUGUGUGAAAGAGGUAGCUAGAAAGAGUGAAAGGAGGCUAGCGUAUGAAAGGAAUUUAGCCCUAUUUGGUGCCCUAAGAAAUGAAAAGGAUAAGCGUGAGCAGAACAAACGGAAGGGGAUUUACAAAAUUCCUUUAGUGGAUAAUGUUACCGAGGAGCGGCUGGCGUAUAUA